CUUCCAAUUCCUGUCCAGCCUCACACACAGACACUGGAGGAGCUAGGAGAGCACUGAGUGUUACAGUGGUAACAUACUUUGGUAGGUGCAUACUUUGCCUAAUGUGAAAUGUGGCACUGCUGCUGCCGUUAGCGAAGGCAGGGAACUAUGUCUACGAAAAAAAAAAUCAUUAAAAUAUUUCUAAUCUAUAGUGUUGGAUUUAUACUGAAAUUGAAUGCAAAUAAUACAAUUGAUAGUAAAAAACGAUAUAAAAAUUCCCCACUAGUCUGUAGAUAGUCUGUAGUGGUUAGUCAGCUAGACUAGUGCCAGUUCUAUCCUGGGCACGUGCCGGGAUUAUGAAUAUACACAAACAAAGUAGAGCAGAGUUUCCCAAGAAGGGAUCCCUAAUCUGGUAAUGGCAGGAUUGCACAGCAGAUACAAAAAGUAAAGAGUUUAUACCAUAAAAAGAAACACACUGAUAACUGUAAGUUGUGGAUACAUUGUACUAAGCAUCUGCUCGAAUAAAUUGUGAUUAGUGUCUACAUUGACUUUAUUGGAUACAUGCCGACCUGAAUACUGUAACAUCGUAUCAAAAUGGAGUAACUGCUAUAGAACUAAGGAAAGAUAGGGACAUAACGUUAACACCAAGUAUCUAAUGUUCCUGGGGGCUGGGUGAUACAUAUCCUAUCAUUGCCAGCCAUAUCUAAGAUAUACGUCUCAAGUGAUAUGGAACUAUAAAAUCAAGGAUCCUAUAGGAGGCAGACUCACUUGGGUGGAUAACAAGAGCAAGUAGCCCAAAAUAACUCAAUCGACUCAUAAUACAAACAGGCCAAAUAUAUUAUACGCCUCUCACCGGCAAAGUCGCGGAAACAAGUAUACAAUACAAAGUACAGGAGGAGCAGUUAAAUCAAUCACUGUGAGUCCGCCCCACUUAAUAAAGAUACAACAUGAUCUAAAUCGGAAUAAAUGCAUGGCUAACACCGAGAGGCAGCCCCACCUAAAGAGGUACACAAUGAUAGAGUCAAAAAGAAACCAAAUGACUACUAAGCCUAUCACCGACAGUCAGCCCCACCUGUAAGUAUAGACUUACCUGGAAUAUAGGAGAAGCAGGCUAACUGCUAAGCCUAUCACUGUAAGUAAACCCCACCAGGAAACAACAUAGCUAGGAAAGAGCGAAAAGGUAAUAUAUAGAAAAAUAGCACUGUGUAUUGAAUGAUCACUAGUAGGGGACAUCCCUUGAAUAGCAGAAACCAGCGGUGGCCUGACAAUCUAUCCAUGAUAGACCGAUCUCAAUCUAAAUACCCUGGUUGACUCACAGCUUUUGAGGCAACCUACCAACCUGAGAACAUCCAUAUCUGAAAUUCCACAACCACUAACUCACAUUAACUAAUUCAGUGUCAAUCAGCGUCUCAAUUAUAAACAUAUUAUAGUACAUGAAAAGAAAGAAAAGGUGAUUUGCGCACACAGAAACAAAUAACUUGUUUACCUUAUAUUCAUCAACAUUCUAAUAAUCAAACCAUAGGUAGUUCUUUGAAACCUAUUUUUAAAUGAAUUUAAAAACACACACAUAGUGUAAAUUGUAUAUGUGAGAUAAUAUAAGUGUUAAAAUAUUCCUUCAAACUCACAAUUCCUAGAGACCAUUAAAAGUUGGCUCGGUACUUAUGGUGCUUUUCAUCUCAUCCGUGAGAUAUAUAAUGGGAAUGCAGAGUAAACGCCCUCAGGAACUCGGUACUGUUGGUUUUACAGGAAACUAGAGAGUCCAGGGUGGAUAUUUAGUCAAAAUGUAUUUAACAGAAUUAAAAACAAAAACAAAAUUUUGUUUUUUUAAAAAUAGAAUAUAAAAUAUUGUAAAGUAGCACAACGCGUUUCACCCUUUCAGACGGGUCUUUCUCAUGUGCAUCUAUUUUUCAAAUGAGCACAUUCACUCUUAUAUAUCAUACAAACAUCGAUAUAAUUAAAACAAUUUAAUACAUCUGUAUAAAAUUACCACCUACAUCCAUAUUUGGUCAAAACCGGAAGUUCCUCGCCAAUCUCAAUGUGGCCGAACUUCCGAUCUCGCACAUAUUGUCCUUGCCCUUCCCAAGAUGUCCCCUGGCUGCACAUAAUUCAUUUAUUGCCAAUGUUCCAUUUCCGACUGUCAGUCCUUCACAGCUAUGUAUUCCGUCGAGCUGAUCAUAAUGUUCCAAUACGUCAUUUCCUAUGGCGCAUGCGCCUUUACGUCCGUCAUGCCGAAACAGUCUUUUCUUCAGAUCAGUGUUAUUUUCACAGUCAUCUAUUUUAGAGUGGGGCAUAGAUGUUAAUGUGUCCACAGUCCAUAUUAGAAAGGCAAAAAAUGUAAUGGGGGAGAUAUAAAAAUAAUAUAUAUUAAAAUCCAUUUCCAUUAUAAAUAUAUGAAAAAGACUUUCCUAUAAUUUAACACUAUAAAUUAUUAAUAGACUCAUGCAGUUAAAAAAAUACAUAUAAAAAUAAGUGCAAAAACCAAUACAGAAAAAAGGGGGUAUAUUUAGCUUCAAGUGAAUUGUGAGGUAGAUAUUCUGACAAGACUUUUUUAUACAAAUAAAAUACCUAGAAAAAAACCUAGAAUAAUACUAUAUAAUAUAUGAACAUAAAAAAAGGAAAAGUAAAAAUUGUUCAAGGUUUAAAAAUUCCUUUUCAUAAAAUAUAAUUAAUUCUAAAAUCAAUGUUAAGGCCCAUAGGGGUUAAAGUGCGCAUCUCAAAAAUCCAUUUUACUUUCUGGGUACUUAAUUGUUUUAGGGAGGUUACCUCCUCUCCAAUGUGCUUGAACUUUUCCUAUUGCACAAAAGGUUACAAGUUUUGGGUCUGGUCUAUGUUUUUCCAAAAAAUAUUUCGAUACGCUGUGAUUUAAAAAUGCUUUUUUGAUAUUUCUUCCAUGUUCCCCUAUUCGGACUUUUAAAGGUCUCAACGUUUUUUCAACAUAUUGGUAUCCGCAUGUACAGCUAAAUAAAUAUAUGACAUUACUUGAAUGACAUGUAAUCAUAGAUUUUAUUUUAAAUUCUUUUUUUUGUUAUAAGAGAGCUGAACAUUUUUGUUUGUUAUAUCCGUAUUUUUACAUGUGUUACACAUACCGCAAUGAAAAAAACCUUGUUGACUUUUUGAACAAUUUGAUAAGAACAAAUUAAUUAAUAAAUCCCUCUCUUCUAAUAGAUAAUAAGUCAAUGACCUUAUUAACACACUGAAGAUUAGUGUUAAAAAUCCAUUUUAUUUAUCAAUAUAAAAAAUAUAUAUAAAAAUAUAAAAAUAAACUUUCCAUAUAUCACAUAUAAUUUGUCUAUUAGGAAUCACAAAUCAAGCCAUGAAAAAUCCAGACCUUAUUUGAAAUUCUCGGCGUCCUGAGUCAGCAAAAUGGUAGUGCUGAAAAAUAUCAAACAAUAGUCUUCUCUGAAGUUGAGAUGAUGGCUGAUGGUGAUGGGAGUCAGACCCCUCCAGGCGCCUUUCUCCGCUUCGGCGGCUUUAUCAAUGGAUGCGGUCUGUCUCUUGGUGUUCGUUUAUAUAGUGUCUGCAGGCUUUCUUUUGACCGUGGCAAAUUAGUGAUCAACAGUGUGUGCUACAAAUUCUAUCCAUUCACUAUGUAUCUAAAUAACAAUAUUUGAUUAAACCCAGAAGCUAUUUUAAUUAAAUUGCUACUUAUCAUUUUAAUCGGCACAAUGUAUCACUUUCUUGUUUAACUACCGUUACUAUGGUAACACCCGCUUGAGCGGAUUUACAUGUAACAGACUUUUAUUUUGAUCUGAUUAAACAGAGAAAGGUAGAGAUAGGAUGAAAGAAAGGUUGAAAAAAAGAGGGUGUAUAAGAAGAUUAUUUUUCUUAACUCUUAUGCUAUAGCUUAUUCAAGGGGAAAUAGUUACCGUAUUUCAGCCGAAAAAGGUAAUUUUAAUAUAUAAGAAUUGUUAAGACAGUUUAGAAAAUCUAAUCUUAAUAUGUGUAUUGCAAUUCCUUUGUAUUAGUUCACUUCAUCUUCGAUAUGGGCUUAGGACCAAAACAUUUAUUAACUAUGUAAUUCGUCAUAUGAGUGUGUAAUUCUUAAAGGGACCCUCCCUAUAUUACUCAGGGUAUAUCCUAUUAGAAAAAAUCCUUAAUAAAAAAAAAAAAAUGAAAUUUGAGUGUCUUCCAGUUCCCCAUAUUUCUUUAAUGCAUUCCUCACGGAGUCACAGCCUUGUUGGUGGUCUAUGAACGUGUACAAGGAGGUCACGUCUGUGGAUACUAAAAUGUAGUUAUCGUGCCAGGAAAUAGAGUCCAGUUCUUUAAUCAUCUGUGUCGUGUCCUUAUAAAUUGUAUUUAUAAUAGAAGGGAUUGUGUUUAUUUUGAAAAACAACUAUUUCCUAUUUGAAGAUCAGUUUUACCUCCAGAAGAAGGGAACUGCUAUAGGGACGAAAUUUGCCCCUUGCUUUGCUAACCUGUUCAUGGGGGAUUGGAAGGACAAUCACAUUUGGAAUGUGCAUCCCUGGAAUAUGAAUAUCCACAGAUAUAAAAGAUACAUCGAUGAUGUUUUCUUUAUAUGGGAAGGCAAGAUGGUAGACCUGCAAGAGUUCCUAGAAUACGUGAGCAAGAAUACCUGCUGAGUUAAACUGAACACUACCUGCAAUAAAACACAAGUGGAAUUCCUUGACCUAACAAUUUAUAUAGAUUCCGGCACAGUCAAAACAAAAACACACUUCAAAGACGUAGACGUGAACAGCUCCAUCCUUAAAGAGAGCUGUCACUUGCCUGCAUGGUUUAAAAAUGUACCUUAUAAUGAAUUCAGGCACCUGAGAUGCAACUGUACAGACUUUGAAGUAUACAGGGAACAGGCGGAAAUAGUGAAGAAUAAAUUCCUGUCAAAUAACUAUCAACACAAUGAAAUAGAGGAUGCACUAUGUAGAGUAGAGGAUUUAGACUGUAUUAAUCUCCUAAAGAAUAAAGAUAAACCACAAGCAACAAGACCAGGAGAAAUGUUUCCAGCGAUCAUCUUAAAUUACAAUAAAGAAAAUGCACAAUUAAAAAGAAUACUCACAAAACACUGGCAUCUAUUGAAAAAAGAUAAAAUACUUGCUGGCAGUUUACCGGAAAGACUUAUAAUUUUUUUCAGGGGUGCACCUAAUCCAAGAAGGAAAAUAACAAACAAGCACCUAAGAGGAAGGAAAGACGGAACCAAAACAAAAAAGAACGGUUUCUUCUUUUGUUUAGAUUGCAUCCAUGCAAAACAAGUAGGAACAAACAAAUAAAAGGAGUAUUUGAAGUCAUGAAAAAGAACUGCAAGAAAGAGACGGAAUCUUUUAAAAUAAAAGAACACAUCACAUGCCAUAGCACUAACGUGAUCUAUGUACUGGAGUGCCCGUGUGGACUCCAGUACGUAGGAAGAACCAAGAGGCAAAUGUACGUUAGACUCAGAGAGCAUAUGCUGAACAUAGGAAAGGAUAUAUGCAGCACUUGGUGUCAGCCCAUUUUAAACAACAACACAAUUCAGAUAUGAGCCUUUUGGACUUUAAAGGGAUAUGUAAAGUAAACAAAAACUGGAGAGGAGGAGUUCAUAAUAAACAACUGGACAUCACCGAAAUGAAAUGGAUAUACAAUUUAGAUACGCUGCAGCCUAAGGGAUUAAAUGCUGAGUUUGAACUCUGUCAUUUUUUUGGGAUGAACUUCUACUCUUCUAGCGGAACAAUUGCGUAAACUAGUUUUUUUAAAUUUUUUAUUAAGAGUUUGUGCCUGGCCCUUUAAGAUAGGAAGCUGCAAGGCUUAUUCGAUUUUAUCAUAAUUGCUAUUUUUAGUUUUUAUUUAUUUUUAUUUCUACUCAUAUUUUUAUUUUAUUUUUAGGAUUUUUUCUAAUGGGAUGUACCCUGAGUAAUAUAGGGAGGGUCCCUUUAAGAAUAACACACUCAUAUGACGAAUUACAUAGUUAAUACAUUUUUUGGUCCUAAGCCCAUAUCGAAGAUGAAGUGAACUAAUACAAAGGAAUUGCAACACACUUAUUAAGAGUAGACUUUCUAGACUGUCUUAACAAUCCUUAUAUAUUAAAAUUAUCUUUUUCGGCUGAAAUAUGGUAACUAUUUCCCCUUGAAUAAGCUCUACAGCAUAAGAUUUAAGAAAAAUAAUCUUCUUAUACACCCUCUUUUUUUUCAACCUUUCUUUCAUCCUAUCUCUACCUUUCUCUGUUUAAUCAGAUCGAAAUAAAUGUCAGUUACAUUUAAACCCGCUCAAGCGGGUGUUACCAUAGUAACGGUAGUUAAACGAGAAAGUGAUACAUUGUGCCGAUUAAAAUGAUAAGUAGCAAUUUAAUUAAAAUAGCUUCUGGGUUUAAUCAAAUAUUGUUAUUUAGAUACAUAGUGAAUGGAUAGAAUUUGUAACACACACUGUUGAUCACUAAUUUGCCACGGUCAAAAGAAAGCCGGCAGACACUAUAUAAACGAACACCAAGAGACAGACCGCAUCCAUUGAUAAAGCCGCCAAAGUGGAGAAAGGCACCUGGAGGGGUCUGACUCCCAUCACCAUCAGCCAUCAACUCAACUUCAGAGAAGACUAUUGUUUGAUAUUUUUCAGCACUACCAUUUUCCUGACUCAGGACGCCGAGAAUUUCAAAUAAGGUCUGGACUUUUCAUGGCUUGAUUUGUGAUUCCUAAUAGACAAAUUAUAUGUGAUAUAUGGAAAGUUUAUUUUUAUAUUUUUAGAUAUAUUUUUAUAUUGAUAAAUAAAAUGGAUUUUUAAUACUAAUCGUCAGUGUGUUAAUAAGGUCAUUGACUUAUUAUCUAUUAGAAGAAAAGGGUUUAUUAAUUAUUUUGUUCAAUAUUGUAUAGGUUGUUAGGUUCCCUAUUUUUGCACCCUAUUCUCAUCUAUCUCUAUUUUCAAUCAGCGCUCCACUACCAAUACUUUUUACCAAUUUGCUAAGAAGUUGGUAUUAUCUGGAAUUCUUUUCGCUAAGAAACUGUUAGUUAAAAUCUGUUUAAAAUUUUUUGCACAUCUACAAAUACAUUUUGUCUUGGAACCUAUAUAUUUCUGUAUUUCCUCUUCUUGUUGUAAAAUACGCCAAUUUUUGUUUAUAAUAUUCUUAAUGGCACCUAUUUUGCUUGAAUGAUUAAAAAUAAAAAGCAUCUGACUAUUUUUAUAUUUAUUGUCUGUCGUAUUUUUCUUAUUAUUAUAUUUUAAAAGAGGGGAUCUUUCUAAUAAUGUAACAUUGUUAAUUUGAAUAUCCAGAUCGCUUUCAUUGGAACCUCUUUGGACAAAUGUUUUUUUUUUUAAAACUCGGCCUGGUUCGAAAAAUCUUGAUUGUUAGAAGAGUCUCUUUGUAAUCUUAACAAUUGUCCUCUCGGUAUAUUGGACAGCCAGGGCUUGUGGUCACAACUAUUGAACACGAUAUAGCUGUUCACAUCCACUUGUUUUAAAAAGUCUGAGUCAUUAAAAUAUUGUUAAAAGUAUAAAUAUUCAGAUGUAAAAAAUCAAUACUUCUAUUACUCACACUUUUAGUUAAACAAAUUCCCCAAUCAUUAAGAUUGAGAGAAUUAAAAAAGACAUUAAAAAGAUCAUCAGAUCCCUUCCGAAUAAUAAAAAUAUCGUCAAUAUAUCUUUUGUAUAGGACCAGUUUUGCACCAAAAUCAUGCACCCGAUAUAUAAAAAUUGCUACUUUACAAUAUUUUAUAUUCUAUUUUUAAAAAAACUAAAUUUUGUUUUUAAUUCUGUUAAAUACAUUUUUACUAAAUAUCCACCCUGGACUCUGACGUUUCCUAUAAAACCAACAGUACCGAGUUCCUGAGGGCGUUUACUCUGCAUUCCCAUUAUAUAUCUCACGGAUGAGAUGAAAAGCACCAUAAGUACCGAGCCAGCUUUUAAUGGUAUCUGGGAAUUGUGAGUUUGAAGGAAUAUUUUAACACUUAUAUUAACUCACAUAUACAGUUUACACUAUGUGUGUUUUUUAAUUCAUUUAAAAAUAGGUUUCAAAGAACUACCUAUGGUUUGAUUAUUAGAAUGUUAAUGAAUAUAAGGUAAACAAGUUAUUUGUUUCUGUGUGCACAAAUCACCUUUUCUUUCUUUUCACUUUAUUACAAUUGUUAAGUGUAAACAGUGACAUUACACUUGGGUAAUUUUAGCUGCACCAGACAACAUACUAUAAUUAGCACACUUGUUAAUUUUUUUAGAUUUUCAUAUUAUAGUACAUACCAGGAAUUUGCUAUAAUCAUGGUUUUAGGAACAAGAUAUAAAACCAGGGAGACAUAUUCAUGUGCAGGUAUAUGUUGUUCAUUGUAUAUAAGGAUAUUAAAUGUUCCCCACGAUCCUAUAUCAAAAGAUGGGACCAUUCUUCACCAAGAAGCCAAAUACAUCAUAUUCCUGAACUUCUGUUGGGAUCACUAGUCCCCUGUUGUUUAUUAUAGUAGGUAUUGUGAAUUACCCCAUCAUAUAUAAAAAAGGAAUCUCAUGGGGUGGUCUGGUAUGAGGGUCUAAGAUUGCUCCGAUGCCACUCAAAGAAUCUAGUUCAUUUUUCUUCCGACUAGAAAUAUCCAACUGUAAAUUAUUAUAGAAGAGGAGAUAAGAAAUGAACAAUUUCUAAACAAUUUUAUUGCACAUUGUUGCAAACCUGCAAUGGGUACCUGUUAGUUUGUUCGAUAGACAGUUAGUUGGAGGUCUUUUAGGUUAAAAGUAACUUCGGACCAAUAGGACCCUUAGAUUCCUGCCCCUUCUUGCAGUGAUUGAUACAUGUGGGGAUAUUACAUCCCUCAGCAGGUUGUCUUGCGUCAAUAGAGGCUAGAAUCUACCUAAGAUCUUUUACAUGGUCCCAUCAUGCAUCAAAUCUAGCAAUACGUCUAAGUUAUUUCUGUUGGUUGACCUAAUCCUUUUUCAUUGAUUAGGUUCUGUCAGUCAUGAGUGUCCUGUUGUAAGCUCUGUUAAGACAUCUAUUAGGAUAUCUCUUCACUCUGAAAAUGCCCAUUCCCCUUACUUUGCUUUUGAAUGCAUUAAGACCAGAACAAUUUUGUCUGAGCCAAAGAUAUGGUCACACUGGGAUUCCUUUCCUCAGUGGGAUAGGAUGAUAACUGUCCCAAUUUAAGAGACUAUUGGUAUCUGUAGGUUUCCUAUAUAGAUUGGUUUUAAUGUUGCCUACUGAACUUAUUGUUAAUGUUGUAUCAAGAAAGUACAAAGGUGGAUUGCGAAGCUCCGCUGUGAACUUCAAAUUGUAUUGACUAUUAUUAAGUAUGUUCACAAACCCGUAGAAUAUUUCUUCAAUGUGUCUGUCCAAAUAAUCAACACGUUAUCUAUAAAACAUUUCCAGAUUAUAAUGGAUUCCAUGUGACACCUCAUUUUAUCUGAGAAAACCACCACCAUUGUGAAGGUUGGCAUACGAUGGGGCACAAGCCAUCCCCAUCACAAUCCCCUUCACUUGGUAGUAAUAGGUAAUGUCGAGCACAUAAAACAUGUGCAAAAUUAUUAAGUUCAGUAAUUCCAGAAUAAAAUUGUUAUGUUUUCCAAAAUUAGUUUGCCAUACCACUGGUAAAUGUUGCACGGUGAUAAAAAAAUACAUAUAAAUAUUUACGACCUUCGGUGUCUAAACUACAUAAGUAAAGUUCUUAGAUAACUCAAAAAGAGUGUGUUUGGUGACUCUAAUGUAUGAGGGCAACUUGACUACCAGUAGUCAGUCAAGAAAAUACAUUUGAUAGCUGAGUGGGCAAUGAUUAUAAAUCUUAGUUCAAUAACAAAUUAAAAUUCAAAACUUUCAAACCACAAUUUUAAAAUGUCAGGUGGGUUUAACACAUUUCCUUAUAGAUUAAAUAAAAUGUAAAUGGUUAGAAAAUAAUAUACUUAGAUUACGACUUAUUUACAUACUGUUGUCACUGGUGGCAAAUGAAAAUCCAGGUAUAAAAAGAUCACAGAUAGAUUCAAUUUCUCUAGAAUGGCUCCCACAUUUUUUUGAGACCGAGAAACAAAAUAAUAAUUCUUGGAGGUAAAAACAUUUUUCUCAGGUUUUUAUCUCAAAAACAGAAAUCCACAAUUGAAGUAGUAAUAAUUAUUACUCAUACUUGCUAUACCAGUGGAAAUUGUUACACAAGUGAUAAAAAUGAUAUAAACCUAAUAUAACGACAGGUAUACAAUUAAGAAGUCAGAGUGAUAUACACUAAACUGCACAUUUGUUUUUCAUUAUGUUGUAUUUGGCCUCACCUUAUUGAUUAGGGAGAUGCUGAGUCCACCCAAAAUCACACAAUCGUAUAUUCUUCAACCUAAGGAGACACAAAGAUUCUGGUGAAUCAUGAAAUGGUGAAGCAAUUGAAGGGGGAUUGAGGUGGAUCAGCUGUCAAAAGGGAUGUAAAACUAUGUAAGCAAACAUUUCCUGAAUAUCCUCAUUCUUCAUGUCCAAAUCAACACAUGACUAAUCUGCAUCCAUUAGCGAGUAUAAAAGAGGAUCCUUUUUGUAGAACAGUCAAACAUUAAUUUCUCUUUACUCAAUUUGGAUCCAGAAGCAGAUAGCCUUAUUCAAAGCCAUGUCUGGAGUCAAAGGAGGUCACAAGGAUCAACCAAAAGAUGUUGGUCAUUAUGAGAAGCACCACCACCAUCAUCAUGCGGACAAACAGAGUAAGUUAUUCACUAUGAAAAAUAAAUAAAUAGAAAAAGGACUUGCAUUCAAACUUUUUCUAAAGCUGAUACAUUCGCACCUUGCAGAUAAAUCUUUCAGUUUUGAAUGUAUUUUGCUUUUUGAGCAAAGAUGUCAAAUAUGUCCCUUACAUUUUACAAUCCCCCUUUGUUGUGAAGGUUUGGCUCUGUCAUAGCUAUGGCUACGAUGUUUGUUUAUGGCCCACCAUAUUGUUUGCAGAUGGAGAUACUUUGUAGUUCCAUACUAAUUGCUGGACUUGAAACGUUAAUUCCUAUUGGACAGCGGGCUUUAUGCAUUUGAAUUUGAACAUCAC